rnacentral:rRNA from 1 species
UACAGAGGUCCCAAGCGUUGUUCGGGUUCAUUGGGCGUAAAGGGUGCGUAGGUGGCGCCGUAAGUCAGGUGUGAAAUUUCGGAGCUUAACUCCGAAACUGCAUUUGAUACUGCGGUGCUUGAGGACUGGAGAGGAGACUGGAAUUCAUGGUGUAGCAGUGAAAUGCGUAGAGAUCAUGAGGAAGACCAGUGGCGAAGGCGGGUCUCUGGACAGUUCCUGACACUGAGGCACGAAGGCCAGGGGAGCAAACGGG